UACGAGGGGGGCAAGCGUUGUUCGGAAUUACUGGGCGUAAAGGGCGCGUAGGCGGUGCGUUAAGUUAGGCGUGAAAGCCCUGGGCUCAACCCGGGAACUGCGCUUGAUACUGGCGCGCUUGAAUCCAGGAGAGGUUGGUGGAAUUCCCAGUGUAGAGGUGAAAUACGUAGAGAUUGGGAAGAACACCAGUGGCGAAGGCGGCUAUCUGGACGGUUUCUGACGCUAAGACGCGAAAGCGUGGGGAGCAAACAGG
rnacentral:rRNA from 1 species